AAGAAGAAGAGGAUGACAACAUGGCUCACAAACGAGCGAAGCAUGGCAGUUGCUCAGUGUUUGAAUGCUCAAAUGAACACAAAACUGUAUUUUUAGUUCCUUCAUCCGAGCCUCUGAAGAACCAGUGGAUUAAUUUUAUUGUUUCUGGAAAUGCGUCCGUCUGCGCCAAACAUUUCACUGACGACUGCUUCCUCAACUUGGGCCAAUACAGAGCUGGACUUGCUCAACGUCUGAGAAUCAAGUCUGGAUCAGUACCAACUCUCCAUGGCUCAGCUACAAACCUCGAAAAUGCCAGCUCAUCAAGUGCUUACAUUCAGCAGCCUCCCUCAAGGGAUGUUGCCUGCCAGACAGACCACCUGGAAACGCCUACUGUAGGCACACAGCUAUCCUUAAAGACUUUGCAGCCCCAUUUUAAAAGUGAAGAAGACUGCGAUGCCUUUGGGGAUUGUAGCAAGCAGCGCGGCGCCACCUCAGAGAGUCUGGGUGUGGACGCCCCUGGCUCCUCCCACAUGUCCAGUCACA